UGGCUGACUGGCUAGCUGGCUAGCAAUUGCAGCAGCGGCAUAAAAGAGCCAAUUCCAUAGGAAGUUGAUACCCGAUAAAAGCCUCGGCUCUCAGCCUCAGCCUCAACUUCGGGCUCGGACAAAAGGCAGGUCUAUGGCCAUAUCAUUAGUAAUAAAAGUAUGGAUUUUCCCCAGCUCAAAGACUCUCCAAGUCGAAUUUUUCCUCCUAACAGACGCUCCACUGUACUUUUCAUACAAAAAUGAGCGCAAAAUGCAAAAGGCGUAAUGAGGAAGUGUUUGCCAUGUGGACGACAGUUUUGUGUGCAAAAUUUUAAUCAAAUCACGCCAGGAGCGUUUCAGAGCGCCCAAGGGUCUGAAAAAAGACGAAAGAGAGAGAAAUUUAACAACUUCCUUUCGCGCUGCUGGAGAACUUUAUCGCGUUUCAAUAAAUACUAUUUAAUGAUCGAAACAGA